UGGGUUUUAGAGUAUUCCACCUCCCCACCCCUGUGACAUACCACUUGUUGCCUCGGCGGAUCAGCCCGCUCCCGGUAAAACGGGACGGCCCGCCAGAGGACCCCUAAACUCUGUUUCUAUAUGUAACUUCUGAGUAAAACCAUAAAUAAAUCAAAACUUUCAACAACGGAUCUCUUGGUUCUGGCAUCGAUGAAGAACGCAGCAAAAUGCGAUAAGUAAUGUGAAUUGCAGAAUUCAGUGAAUCAUCGAAUCUUUGAACGCACAUUGCGCCCGCCAGUAUUCUGGCGGGCAUGCCUGUUCGAGCGUCAUUUCAACCCUCAAGCACAGCUUGGUGUUGGGACUCGCGUUAAUUCGCGUUCCUCAAAUUGAUUGGCGGUCACGUCGAGCUUCCAUAGCGUAGUAGUAAAACCCUCGUUACUGGUAAUCGUCGCGGCCACGCCGUUAAACCCCAACUUCUGAAUGUUGACCUCGGAUCAGGUAGGAAUACCCGCUGAACUUAAGCAUAUCAAUAAGCGGAGGAAGGAU
rnacentral:rRNA from 1 species